AUUGAACGCUGGCGGCAUGCCUUACACAUGCAAGUCGAACGGCAGCACGGGAGCAAUCCUGGUGGCGAGUGGCGAACGGGUGAGUAAUAUAUCGGAACGUGCCCGGUCGUGGGGGAUAACGUAGCGAAAGCUACGCUAAUACCGCAUACGAUCUACGGAUGAAAGCGGGGGAUCGCAAGACCUCGCGCGAUUGGAGCGGCCGAUAUCAGAUUAGGUAGUUGGUGAGGUAAAGGCUCACCAAGCCGACGAUCUGUAGCUGGUCUGAGAGGACGACCAGCCACACUGGGACUGAGACACGGCCCAGACUCCUACGGGAGGCAGCAGUGGGGAAUUUUGGACAAUGGGCGCGAAGCCUGAGUCCAGCAAUGCCGCGGUGCAGGAUGAAGGCC
rnacentral:rRNA from 1 species